AUUGAACGCUGGCGGCAGGCCUAACACAUGCAAGUCGAACGGGUGGCGGACGGGUGAGUGAUGUCUGGGAAACUGCGCGAUGGAGGGGUGUAACUACGGGAAACGGUAGCUAAUAGCGCAUACCAUGCGCUGUGCCCAGGUGGGAUUAGCUAGUCGGUGGGGUAACGGCUCACCUAGGCGACGAUCCCUAGCUGGCCUGAGAGGAUGACCAGCCACACUGGGACUGAGACACGGCCCAGACUCCUACGGGAGGCAGCAGUGGGGAAUAUUGCACAAUGGGCGCAAGCCUGAUGCAGCCACGCCGCGUGUAUGAAGAAGGUCUUCGGGUUGUAAAGCACUUUCAGUGGGGAGGCGUUACUCACAGAAGAAGCACCGGCUAACUCCGUGCCAGCAGCCGCGGUAAUUC
rnacentral:rRNA from 1 species